rnacentral:lncRNA from 1 species
CCUCGUGGUAACGAGUCAGUGAGUCUCACUCUAGUCGUCCCUGUGAAACCUGUUUAUUAAAGAAACCUGGUGCCUCCCUGACUCUUGCUUCCCUCUCACCAUGAGAACUCUGCACACGCAGGCUCCCCUUCACCUUCUGCCAAGAGUGAAGCUUCCCAAGGCCCUCAUCAGAAGCCAGUGCUGGCACCAUGCUUCCUGUACAGUCUGCAGAACCAUGAGCCACAUAAACCUCUUUUCUGUAGGCAGAAAGCUUCCCUGGGCUCUUUCCCACUAAGUGGCUGUCGUUGGCACCCCCAGCUUUGACUGCUUCCCGCAGGAAUGGCCCUCGAGGAGGAAAUGGAGACCACUUCUGUCUGUGGUGUCUGCCUCCUCCCUCCCUCUAGGAGACGUUCUCCUCCCUGGUUUACAGACGGCACAAACGGAAGAAGAAGAAGAUAAAAAGCCCAAAGGUGGGAACAAGGUGUGUGUGGCCUGGCCCCACUUGCCUUUCUCUUGUCCUCAGCUUGCACUGUGGCUCCUGAAUGUUUGCCUCUUUCCUUCAUCAUCAGUAGCUCUGAGGCUUCAGGCUCCAAUUUGUCCCUGGAGAUGUUCAGCAUCUUCCUAGAAGGGAUAUGGUAAUGUCCAGAAGCAUGUCUGGGACUGGCCCUCACAGGAAAGACACAGCAGAAACGUGAAUUUCAGCACCAGCGAGAAGACAGCACCUCACACUGUGUGCCCAAGACAAGCCUUUAGGAACUCUCAGUGCCAGGCAGAACCCAAGCUCCCACACCGGGUGUCUGCCUGUCUGACUGGUUCUACCCGAGAUGCCAAUGCUGACAUCAGUGCUGAGGGCAGCUGAUCGUUGUCUUAACACACUUAAAGGGCACCUCCCAGCUAUCUGCUGCCCCUGUUCCUCUGGACUGGAGAUUUUAGUAACUGCAAGAGUAUCAAAUUUUAUGUUGAUCCCUGGAAAAAUGUAUUAAAUGACAGCUUGGGGGUUUGUUUUUUGUAAAGAAUGUGCAGCAUUUAAUAAGACCAGUAUUAUACAAUUCCAAAACAAGACAAAGAUGUCACAAGAAAACAAAACUACAAAGCAAUAUCUCUUAUUAAUAUGGAUGCAAAAAUCCUCAACAAAAUACUAGCAGAUUGAAUUUAGCAGCUAUAAUAAGAAUUACAUUCUAUGACCAAGUGGGAUUUAUCUUAGGAAUACAAGAUUGGUUGAGCAUUUUAAAAUCAAUUAAGGUAAUACCUCAUAUCAACAGAACAAAAAUCACAUGAUCAUCUCAAUACAUGCAGAAAAAAAGCAUCUGACAAAAUCCUAACCUCAUUCCAUGAUAGAAAUGCUCAACAAACUACUAAUAGGAAGUUCUCAACCAGAGAAAGGGCAUCUAUGGAAAACCCACAGCUAAAAUUAUACUUCAUGGUGAAAUACUGAAUACUUCCCCACAAAGGUCACAAAAAAAGACAGAUAUGUCCACUCUCACCUUGCUGUUCACCAAUGUAUUGGAGUUUCCGGGGCAAUUAGGCAAGAAAAAGAAAAGGCAUUCGGUUUGAAAAGGAAGACGUAAAACUAUCUAUGUUUGCAAAUAACAUGGUCCUAUAUACAGAAAAUCCUAAGGAAUUCACUUAAAAACUAUUAGAACUAGCAAAUGAGUUUGGAAAUAUAGCAUAAUACAAGAUGGAUAUUGUAAAAACCAAUUUUAUUGCUAUAUACUUGCAAUGAGUGAUCCAAAAACUAAAUUAAGAAAAUAAUUCCUAGUAAACUAUCGCAAGAACAAAAAACCAAACACCGCA